ensembl:lncRNA
GUCUGGGGGAACAGAGGGAGCACCCAGCGAUUUCAAAAGUCCGUUUCUGACACUCAGACUUUUAUCUUCAUAAGCUCUCAGGGUAAAUAGCUCUAAGAAAGAUACAUUUUCUGAAAGAUAAAGUCCUGUGCACGAGAGUGAGGGUAGGUGAAUUUCCCCUUAUACAUCAUCCUAGCAGUUUCUCCCCUUCCCUCCUUUCCUUCCCCUCCCCUCCCUUUCUUUCUCCUCCCCUUCCUUCUCUCUCUUCUCCUUUCCUCUCUUCUAUCUUGUUCGCCUCCUCUUUUUACUCCUCCCCAUAGUCCCCCCUCCCAUGUUGGCACAAGGUAAUGGGGCCAUAGGCAGUCCCUAGAUUCUUUUCUCCUUUCUCCGCCUACUUGUUUUUAUUGGGAAAAUAUCUCCGUAAUAAGCUCUCUGAGGCAUGUAAUAGGUUCAAUUGAGAUUGAAGCUUGGUCUAAGCAGGUUGGAGAACGGGAAGGAGUAGAGUGUUCGAGGGAGCCUCAUGGAGGCUCUCAGGGGGACAUAGACAGAACUGAGAGGCCCCUGCAGGCUUUCCUCACUGAGGGCAGAGCACCUUACGACACUCACUGAGCUUUGCUCCUGUUGUUUUGAAUCCCAGUUGGCACUGCUCCAAGCUGGAUUGAUGGCAAAAUAGCAGAGCAGCAUGGUGUAGAUACUGUGGCGUUAAACAACGUUGCGAGCCAAUGUGUCUUCUGCUAGUGCCUGCGUUGAAAUCAAACCUUCUAGGAGGUGAGGAGGUGGGGCCUUCUGUAGGUGAGGUAGCGCGCAUGCGUGCAUGCGUGCUUGCUUGCGCCCACCACUCGGCCUACAAAGGUGAAGAAACAGACAGACACCCACAUAACCGGAAGCAGGACCUGGCAACUGGACUUUGGACUUCCCUCGCCUCCAGAAUGGGGAGAGAUAAAGAACUGUUUAAGCCAGCCCACCUGUGAUCUGUCAUAGCAGUUGAAAACUGAGCUGGGAGCUGUGGUUUAAAAGUGGGAUGGCCUUAAGCAAGUUCUUAGGGUACUUUAAAAAAUAAAACAAAACAAUAACCAAAAGAAAAACAGCAACCUACAAACACAGGGUCAACAACAAGUGAUAAUCUCACUGAAUUCUCCCAAGGAUUAAAAGCGAAGGUGUUAGCCAGCACCCACAUGCAAUAGAGGUGGGAGUGAAGCCAGCUCUUCUGUCCUGUAUCUGACUAAGAAGGAGUCACCCCGGGGAGUCCUUUCUAGUCUGAGGUGGCACAGAGGGAAGAGGAGUUCAUGUCCCUGGGUCUCCAGCGAGAACUUCAGAAUUUCCUUGACCCAAAAUAGCAGCUGUGGUUGUGAUUGGCCUAGGCUCCUCUGUUGCUGCCAAUUAGCCACAAUUGGGAUUGGCUAAUAUUCUUCUGCUGCUCAUUGGCUAACACUUCCCCUACAGUGCACUGAGGGCUUUGUCAUAAAUACACCGUGAAACUCACACCCAUGACCCCUGACAAAAGUCCCCAUCGCCUCAUUUAUUUUUCCUAUAUGGACAAACAAGGAAGUUGACAGGUCUCCUUCUGAUUAAAUAUCUUCUGUCUUUGGUUUGGAGACUGAACUCACAGCGAUUCUCCCUCCUCAGCCUCCUGAGUUUUUGUUUUGACAGCAACAACGUCUUCAGACUGUAGGCAUUGGAAUUGUAGUGCCAGGUAAGUGUCGUGAUACCCCUUCCCCCAAAACAGACAGGAGCUGAUCUGAUGCAACUUACAGCAGGGUCUUUACUCUUCUAUUGGCUGGAACUAGCUUGCCCUCCCCCCUUGCCCCCCACAAUGCACCACUGUCACACAGGAUGGUUUUGGUAGUGGGGGAGCCCUGAAUAUCUGUCAGUUCAACGGUUUAUAGUAAACAGCAAGCAGGGAGUACUGUGUGCAAGCAUCUAAUUGGAAAACUGCUGUGGACUUUAACAUAAUUGGCUAGUGCUGGGAGUCAAUCAUGAUUUUAAUUUCUGCUUCUCUCUGUAUUGGUGGUUAUUAGGCAGGGGGCAGGCUUGUAACCUGGAGAUGCAGGUUUGUUAGGGGAAUAACCUGGAGACAAUGGUCUUGUUGAGGGUGUAACCUGGAAAUACUGGUCUUGCUGGGGAUUAACCUAGAGACUGCAGCUAGGCUCAGAUUUUGUUGGGGGGCAACUUGGAAACGAAUGCUAGGUACCAGCCUGUUAGUUUAGCCAAGCUCAAAAUUAGGUCAGGUUCUCUCAAAUGGAGUCUGAACUUGAAAGAUUUGGCCUCUCAGAAUCUCCCACUGGGUCUCUCCUAACUGCCUUCUCUCUAUUUAUUUAUUUUACAGUUCUAAAGAUUAAGCUCGGGGACUUGGCAUGUGCUAGACAAGUAUCCUACCACCGGGCAGCAUUCCCAACCCCCGUGCUAGGGGUUCUGCCAAGCAAUUCAACUGCACUUAGCAAUUCUGUCCUUAGAGCCGUCGCACGGAGUACUCGCCGUUACCAGCUCCACAUUUAGAUAAGACAUAGGGCGUCGAAAGCUGACGGACCCUAAGUCAUAUGUGCACUGCGUGCGUAGUAGGGUUGAGCUGUCGGGAUAUUUAGUCAGUGUCAGAUUGUAAAGGGAUUUACAAUGUGCUGCUUAACUUCUCCGUGGAGCCAGUCUCCUGGGGUUGGCAUAGUUCUGACAUGGAUGAGUUGUGAGGUCCGGAGGUGUGUGUGUACAGUUAUAAUGUCAAAUAACUUAAGGCUAUGUGAGUACUGAGAACUUACCUGAUAUAGUGGAAUAUACCGUCAAGUAAUACACACCAAGCCCCUGACACAUAGAUAUAAAGUAACCUCUGGUUAGUAUCAUUCCAAAUAGUUAAUUAUGGGAGGGAUUUAAAAAGGUGCUGAGUUGUGAAGAAGGUUCCAGACUUCUUUGGGGGGGCGUUUUGGGGGUUGUUGCGGUAAAUAUAAAAAAAAAAUCUGAACCUUUUAUUCCCAAGCUGGUGCCAGCACCCGUUGGGCCACAUGGCACUGCGGGGUACUUUUAUCUCAGCGGCUCCACGCUGCCCCCAAGUACUCUCAGACUCAGGUCAUCUGAGAGUCGUUCCUGCCAUGCUGGUCCUUAGAGUUAGUUCCAACAUUGGAGGGCCAUAUAGAACUAACCAUAAUUUAUCUCUGGUUAGUAUCUCUCCCGGUGGCAGCUACCCGGUGAAAUCAGGACUCAAUAAGCUCUAAUUUAUCAAUCAGAUUUAUGUGUUAAAUUCUCAAUCCACAAUAUAUCCACACAAUAAACUCACAACCAAUUGAUAAAGAUAUAAACCGCUCACCUAGAUAAGAUAAAUUGACCUAUAGAAAUCCAAUAUACAUAACUACCCAGGGCCAUUCAAGAUCACCCAGAUCUGGGCCAUCCUUCUCCAUCUCCAUCUUGAUUCUCCCACUUUCCCUUCUCUCGCCUUACAAAACCUUUGUCCCCGCCUUACUUUUUUACUGUCCAAUCAUGGCCGUGACCUAACUUGUGCCAGCUUUCACCUGCAUAUAGACAUCGACCUACAGGGGGUGGUACCUUCUUUCCUUAUAAGAUGUUGGUAGGGUUCCACAGGGUCACUCAGCUUUCUCUGACUUUGAAACGCAACAUGCUCAGACUGCUCACUAGUGGACAAGCAGGUGAUCCCAGCAGACCACUGAUAACACACAGGCAUCCCUACUACAAGGAUGGCUUCCAGGCAGAUGGGGAGCCUUGGAUGAGCUGCAGUUUGCAAACCUGCAAAGGUCCCACUCCCAGUCCUUUCUUUUCUCUGGACUGAAGGCAUGAGACGGGGGAGCUAUGGUUUCUACGCCCCCUCGCUUCAACACUGUCAGGGACUGACUUUCGGAAAAUGCUAAAAACCUUGUGCAAACAUGCAGUCCGCAUGCAUCGAUGUAUUAUUGAACUCACGGGUGAAAGAACCAGGGGGAUGGCGAGGUGGGCUCGGAGAGGGCAGGAACAAUUGGCAUUCGAGAUACAGUGCUCUCCACUAAGAAGAAUGCUAGAACUGGGCUGCUAAGCCAAAGGCUGUAGAAUUAAUCACGGUCACGGGGAACAUCACUUAUGAUCUUUGGGGCUGUGUUCUCUGUUUCCACUAGAAAUCCCUUGUACCCACUGAGUGAAAAAACAACUGUGCUCUCUGUUUUCUCCAAUUCAAUGCCUCCCUUGACAGAAGCUGGGCCAUUUGUAAGUUAAGUUGUAAUGGGCAAAAAGCUGUGGUCUUUUCAUGGGCUUUUUAGACAUUGUCAGGGCAUGCUAAAACACCUUGGAUUUUUUUUUUUUUACACAUUGUUCCAAGUUCUGGAUGAUUGUUUUUGUAAUGACAAUUAGGGUUGGGGCUACUGAGCAAAUUCUUCCACCAAGCGGAGAUAGGACCUAAACUCUCUCUCACCCUCUAACUCCACAUAGCUUCUUCCGGUUGAUGUAAACCUGUGUUGGAGACAUAACUAAUCUGUCCCCUGGCCUUUGGCAACAGCAGUGAGAUAGGUAGGGCACCAGGCAGCUUCUCCCACAACUGACUCAUGACACAAUGCCACCGACUCAUUCAGGGCACCCUCCAGCUGAGCCAUGAGGAAACUCUGAAGAAUCAUGAUCUCUCAAUGGAGAAAGGGGGCCAAAGGAAGGGUCCAUGUUUCCAUCAUGGAAUGGAUGUCACUUGCUUUUCCAAGUUUGGAUUUCAGAGGACAGGCUACAGGGCUCAGAGCUCUCCACCUCAUGCGAUGGGUUAUUAAGCACAGUGGGCAUAGACACCAUUCCAUGUUAAGUGGGUGGGGUGCUGGGAAGGGGAUGGAUGCCUUCUUAGCUACACCAGCUGUCAGUGACCUACAUAGACCAAAUGAACGGUCUGCCACACCAUCAAUAGAUAAAUGAUAGUCUAGAGAAAUGGGAAAAUUUAGAAGUCAGGAGGAGAAGAACCAUCCCUUCCCUUGGCCUAAGUCAUGUGCUUACACACUGUGUGCUAGGUUUCAUUACAGAGUUUGGGCAGCUGUCAGGAAGUCUCUUUCCCAGAAGGCCUCUCUGGACACUACACACAAGAACGCAUUUCCCAUAUAGACGAGGCCAUCUGCAGGAAGGGAGGAACGGCUGCGGGCUGCCAAUGCCCUCCGUUGAAAUGUUCUUCCUCAUAGUUAUGCAGUGUUCGAGUUGUCAAGAUUUCUUGUUUGGAAAUUACACUCGACAUUCAUAUUUCCUCAGAAAAUUGGGAGGAAGAUGGCUCAUUAGUGUUUCAAAUAAUCUAAAAGAACAGUAAUUCUGUUCCAUCACGGGCCUUUCUUUCUUGUCCUUGGUGAAGUGAUGAAAAGGGACGUGAUGUCCCCCUUCUCGGGACAGCUGUGAAUGGAGAGUUGAAGAAAAGGGUCGGAGUGAGGCGCUAAUGCACAGUGCUGUGUGUGAGGGGUGGGGGCAGGGGUGUCUCGACCCUUCUCCUCAUGGCCAGUGUUUGCUUUCCAUCACUGGGGAUCUAAUAUCUGAGAUGAGACACCCUCACUUAGUCAGACUAUGGAUCGACACCACUGAGUGAGAAGCUGAGGGAGUGGGGGGGGGGGCAAAACAAAAGAGACAGGCUGACACCUCAGAAAGAUACAGAAAGAUAUAGUUGUAUCUGUAGAUCCAGUGGCUAUCCAUGGCUGAAAAUAUCCAGGAAAACAUGUAGACUAUUUCCUUGACACUGUGGCCUAAUAAUGGCACAGCGUAACUUCUCUGGCCUUUGUAUCCUUACAGCAGGAGGUAUACUAACUCAGCUAGACACAGUGAGGUGCACACAAAGUGUGCAAAACAAAUGAAUGAAUGAGUAAGCAAACAAGCAAACAAACAAGGUGCUUGAGAAGUGCUGUUAUGUAUGGGAGAUUGGGGCCAACACAACUGUAGGCUCUUAAGGAUUAAUAGCCACCAGGCCAGUGAAAAUUGGAGAAUGUCAAUAGAGAAAAACAGAGCUAAAAAGAUACACCCUAUCAACACCAAUUAAAGAAAGCUGGUACACGGUCUGGGUCUUGCUAUCCCUGCAGGUUCAUGUGUUUAAAGGCUUUCCAGCUUGGUGCUAUUGAAGGGUGGGGGAAGCUAUGACGUGUGCUCUAAUAAAUACACACCACCCCUCCCUGGUUCAGGGAACACCGUGGAAAAGGAUAUGGGGAGAGUGUAAGAGCCUGAAGUCAGGAAGGAACUGAGAUACAAUGUUUCCUGGAUAGGAUGGCUGCAUUUGUGGGCUCUAUGCAGCUAAGGUUGACGCACAAGGCCGGCACAAGACCAAGCCGGGUGGGAAACAUUGUAGCACAGUAGUGUGAGAGGCUCAUGAACUCUCACCCCCAGCUGGAGUUCUAGACAAUUCACGGCUACAGAGCAAGGGUGAGCUUAUUUCUUUAAGGGUGUGGCCAUGCUUCCGUGGGUGGCCCACCACUUCUGCUUGGGUGGGCAGCACAAAUUGCACUGGGUGACUUAUAAAACAUAACAGGACAUAAAGUUGGGAGGGAGACAGUUCUGGGAGGAGUAGUGUGUGGAUAUGACUGAAACAUAUUGCAUUCAUGUAUGACCUCAGAGAACUAAAACAUAUUAUAUUAUAAAAGAAGUUUGCCCUAGGGGCUGGAGAGAUGGCUCAGUGGUUAAGAGCACUGACUGCUCUUCCAGAGGUCCUGAGUUCAAUUCCCAGCAACCACAUGGUGGCUCACAACCAUCUGUAAUGGGAUCCGAUGUCCUCUUCUGGUGUGUCUGAAGACAGCUGCAGUGUACUCAUAUAAAUAAAAAUAAAUAAAUCUAUUUUAAAAAAAAGAAGUUUGCCCUAGUGGUAGGUCUUGGGCCAACAAGAGAAGCCCUUAAGGUGUGUGUGCGUGUGUGUGUGUGUGUGUGUGUGUGUGUGUACACUGUAGGAGGCACACUCCCACCCUUUCUCUUCUUCCCAGUCACAGGG